GAUGAACGCUGGCGGCGUGCUUAACACAUGCAAGUCGAACGAGCUUUAUUACUACGAUCCCUUCGGGGUGACGGUUUUAAAGCGAGUGGCGGACGGGUGAGUAACGCGUGGGUAACCUGCCUUGUACAGGGGGAUAACAGUUGGAAACGGCUGCUAAUACCGCAUAAGCGCACAGUGCCGCAUGGUAUAGUGUGAAAAACUCCGGUGGUAUAAGAUGGACCCGCGUUUGAUUAGCUGGUUGGUGGGGUAACGGCCUACCAAGGCGACGAUCAAUAGCCGACCUGAGAGGGUGACCGGCCACAUUGGGACUGAGACACGGCCCAAACUCCUACGGGAGGCAGCAGUGGGGAAUAUUGCACAAUGGGCGAAAGCCUGAUGCAGCGACGCCGCGUGAGCGAAGAAGUAUUUCGGUAUGUAAAGCUCUAUCAGCAGGGAAGAUAAUGACGGUACCUGACUAAGAAGCACCGGCUAAAUACGUG
rnacentral:rRNA from 1 species